rnacentral:rRNA from 1 species
AGCGAACGCUGGCGGCAGGCUUAACACAUGCAAGUCGAGCGGGCACUUUCGGGUGUCAGCGGCGGACGGGUGAGUAACGCGUGGGAACGUGCCCUCUGGUUCGGAAUAACUCAGGGAAACUUGAGCUAAUACCGGAUACGCCCUUUUGGGGAAAGGCUUGCUGCCGGAGGAUCGGCCCGCGUCUGAUUCGCUAGUUGGUGAGGUAACGGCUCACCAAGGCGACGAUCAGUAGCUGGUCUGAGAGGAUGAUCAGCCACACUGGGACUGAGACACGGCCCAGACUCCUACGGGAGGCAGCAGUGGGGAAUAUUGGACAAUGGGCGCAAGCCUGAUCCAGCCAUGCCGCGUGAGUGAUGAAGGCCUUAGGGUUGUAAAGCUCUUUUAUCCGGGACGAUAAUGACGGUACCGGAGGAAUAAGCCCCGGCUAACUUCGUG